rnacentral:rRNA from 1 species
UACGUAGGGUGCAAGCGUUGUCCGGAAUUAUUGGGCGUAAAGAGCUCGUAGGCGGUCUGUCGCGUCUGCUGUGAAACUCAGGCUUAACCCUGAGCUUGCAGUGGGUACGGCAGACUAGAGUGCGGUAGGGGAGACUGGAAUUCCUGGUGUAGCGGUGAAAUGCGCAGAUAUCAGGAGGAACACCGGUGGCGAAGGCGGGUCUCUGGGCCGUAACUGACGCUGAGGAGCGAAAGCAUGGGGAGCGAACAGG